UGGGGUUGCGUGCCCGGGCGCUCCCCGCCAUGGCGCGGUGGCCGCUGGCGGUGCUGGCGCUGCUCCCGUGCCUGCUGCGGCCGGGCAGCGCCGCCCUCACGGCGCCCGCGGGCGCCCGGCUGCGGGAGCGGGGUGGCGGCGGCCGGGAGCGAGAGGGAGCGGCGGCGGCUCUGCGGGAAAGUGCUAAAAGAAUUAGAUUAUUGAAUUCAUUAUCAAAAGAUAAUACGACUGCUGUCUAUGGAAUCAAUCAGUUUUCUCACCUGUUUCCUGAAGAGUUCAAAGCUAUUUACUUGAGAAGCAUGCCUCACAAAGUUCCCAGAUAUAUAAAAGUGCCAAAGGGGAAGGAAAAGCCUCUGCCAGUGAAGUUUGACUGGAGGGACAAGAAAGUCAUUGCAGGAGUGAGAAAUCAGCAGACAUGUGGAGGCUGCUGGGCUUUCAGCGUGGUAGGUGGCAUAGAAUCUGCCUAUGCAAUUAAAAGAAGCACCCUGGAAGAGCUCAGUGUGCAGCAAGUUAUUGACUGCUCUUACAAUAACUACGGCUGCAGCGGGGGAUCCACUGUUAGCGCUCUGAGCUGGCUGAACCAGACCAAAGUAAAACUCGUGAGAGAUUCAGAAUACACUUUCAAAGCUCAGACAGGACUGUGCCAUUAUUUUGAGCGCUCAGAUUUUGGAGUUUCAAUAACAGGAUUUGCUGCAUAUGAUUUCAGUGGUCAAGAAGAGGAAAUGAUGAGGAUGCUUGUCAGCUGGGGCCCUUUGGCAGUGACAGUCGAUGCCAUUAGCUGGCAGGAUUAUCUCGGUGGAAUCAUACAAUAUCACUGCUCCAGUGGAAGACCAAAUCAUGCUGUUCUUAUCACUGGUUUUGACAGAACAGGUAGCAUUCCUUACUGGAUUGUACAGAACUCUUGGGGGCCGACAUGGGGAAUAGAUGGAUACGUUCGUGUUAAGAUGGGCGGCAAUGUCUGUGGUAUUGCAGAUACAGUUUCAGCAGUAUUUGUUUGACAUUCCUCUGGGCCUCUACAACUGGUCAAAGACCACAAUUAUCAUGAGGACAGACACUGUAUAUGAAGAUGGAAUUCAAAACACCAUUUUCAAAUAUAAGAAACAGCUGUAAGGGCAAUUCCUGCAACUCCUGGCUGAAGUUUUUAAAAAUGUUUUUAUUUUGAAUUUCUGUUGAAUGCUAAAUUUCUCAUGGAUUAAGACGACUCAUCUGAAGAGUGCACAAAUAGAAGCUACAAAGAUGGACUGAAGCCUCAAAUGUGCAGGCUUUAAGAAGCCAGCCAAGAGCUAAAUUGGUCAUUGGGCUGAAUUGGGGUAUCAUCUUACUCUUAAUAUAGGCUAACUCAAUACAGAUUUAUUUUUUCUACAAGCAAUUAAUUUCUUCCACAGGCCAAUUGUACUAUUCACAAAGCUGUCAUACAUAAAUACAUAUUUACACACCCACACUCUUUGCUGGCAACACCACUGAAGGUGAAAGUCAGGAAGUUCUUUACAGCAACAGUGUAGAAAGGCAAGCUAGUCAGAGUCAUCACUGCUGAAGUAGGAGCUGUCACAGUAUUCUGCUGUGUAAAGGAAUUUAUGAAUGCUGGGGUUCAUCUUUGGUAUCCAGUGUCGUGGGACUAGAAAUGUUGAAAGAUUGAACAAAUCCACAAACACCUUGUAUCUGUCACUGAAAAAGACAAUUGGAACAAUAAUUCCAUCAGCAGAGAAGGCCAUAGUUUCUAAAUCCUCAGUAAUCAGUCCUUCUCGUGCAAAUAACAAGAUUCCUUGCACUAACCCUCCUGAAUAUUGCAGAGCAGGAAUCCAGUCCUGACUUCCUAGGGUAUAGCAGAUUAGGCAUAAUAGGGAUCUAUAGUAACAUUUUUCUUCUGAAAAUGCAGAGUCCAUAGGGUAUGAUCUCUAGCAGAAUUUAUCUAGGAACAAUAAUGUUAACCUGACAUAAAGGUAGAGUGGGAGAGCUUUCUAAGAAAGACAGUGGGCAUUCAACCCUCAGUAUCGGCCUAACCAUCUGCUUUCUGCCCUGCCCUCUGUUCCAGUGGUUGUGAUAAUAGUUGCUCACUGCUCUUUUGAGAGCAAACUUCAAAGAUCCUUUUUGAAGGAUGUUGUGCAAUUAGAGGUCAUGCUAAGGAAUAAAGAAACUGUCACACAGUAGCUGGGGCUCACUUCCAGCCUGUGUCACCUCAUUAACUUGGGCUAGCUGGCACACCAACUGAACAAUGCAGGGUUCAUAUUAUUGCUAUCACUGUAAUGCCUGCACUCCCUAACUGAGAAUUACGGAUGGCACUUUGCAUGAAUGAUCAAAAGGAGUUCUUUUUGCCCUAGAAAGCUUGAAAUUUACAUGUCACUGAUAAAUAAAUGUACAACAACCAAGGAGAGAUAGAGUCCUAGAAGAGAGUCAGCAGCCCUUUGGCCUCCAGUGAGCCAUCUGAAUUUUAUCUCCCAGUAUCAGAGUAUUUAUGCACUGCAUUGUUGCUGGUAACAGGGGAAACACAUUAUUUCUACCUCACUGUUGAGCGCAAGUAGUGGUAGCCUGAUGAGCCUCCAGUGCCAGCCUUGCCACCAAUCAUUCUGUGCACCAAACAGACAUGGUUAUCUAAUGAUAAAACAGGAGAAAAUAGCACACGUUCAGUAUUUCAAUAUAACUAAAGGGUCACACUUACUGAAGGUCAUUCAGAGAUCUUUACAGGGAUACAGAACUAUUAGGUCUUCAGCAAUGCAGGAGUUAAUUCUGCCAUUCUUCAGUCAAUUAAUAUAAAAUUAUUGUUAAUUCAGAAUGAAUAGGCUAAUUAUUACACAUUACUGUGCUCUGUUAAUACAGAAUUAUGCAUUCAUUUACAUAUGUCUAGAUAGGGAAGGAGGCAAAAGGAAUGUUUGGAUAUAAAGACAUGACAUUAUGACUUUUGGGAUACAUUGAAAAUUAGAUACCUGUCCCUUAAUAAGAUAGUACACUUAAAUCAGGUCAGAGAAGUGGUAGCUAUACCCAUGUACCUAAUGAUCACAGAAGCAGCUCUUUCUCUUUCCUCCUGAAGUACAAACUAAAGUAAUUCCUAAAGCAUGAACUCCAAAGCUGAAUUCUAAGACUGGGUGUAACUCAGAACAAUUUAUUUGCAUCUAGAAGAGGGAGCGUCACAGUCAAAAAAGUCAAACUUACAUCUCCAUUUAGUCAUGAGCACAUCGAGAUCCAUAAGGGAGGUGAGGAGCUGAAAGGGAACCUGGAAACGAGGCUCCUCCCUUGGAAAAUGAAAGAGAAGACAGUGAGACCUCUCAGCAUAUGCUGUAUUUUUCAAAGUUGCAUUUCAUCAGUGCUUAGUGACUUAAAGCAUGCUUGUCAUAAACUGGUACUGGAAUAUCACUAGAUAUUUUAACAAAUGCUUCUGCUGUGUAAAUCCUGAUCUGCCCCUUUAUUUUUGAACCUGAAAAAGGAUUCCAGAUCUUUCUAGGACAGGUAGAACAAGGCAUUUACUUGUUACAAUCUGAGAAGCAGCAUCUGGUCAAGCUGCCCAGAGGGGAUGUGCAACCUCCCAUCCCUGAGAUACUCAGAACUCAUCAGGACAUGGUGCUGAGCAGCCUGGUCUGACCUUCAAGCUGUGUCUGACUAAUCAAGGUUCCUGUGGAGGGCUGAAAUAGAUGGAUUCCCACAGCUCAUUCCAGCCUAACUAAACCUGUGCUGCUGUUCUUAACCUCUCUCCUGGCAGUCUCCAUCAAAGACACAUCUUACAACAUCACCUGUAAAAGUAGAUCAUCAAGGCCCCCUUCAGUGCUUUGUAGGACAGCCGUCUGUCUCCUGCAAAAUACAAGUGUCCUCAGUUUGCUGCUCACUCUCCUGCAACUUUAAUGCUAUAACAAACAUUUAUAAACAACAUGUAUAAAACAUACAAAGUGCAUAUUCACAUGUGGUAAUAAAAUCUACCUUUACUGAGCA